rnacentral:rRNA from 1 species
GACGAACGCUGGCGGCGUGCUUAACACAUGCAAGUCGAACGGAAAGGCCCUGCUUUUGUGGGGUGCUCGAGUGGCGAACGGGUGUGUAACACGUGAGUAACCUGCCCUUGACUUUGGGAUAACUUCAGGAAACUGGGGCUAAUACCGGAUAGGAGCUCCUGCUGCAGGGUGGGGGUUGGACAGUUUCGGCGGUUGUGGCUGGACGCGCGGCUUAUCAGCUUGUUGGUGGGGGAGUGGCUUACCAAGCCUUUGACGGGUAGCCGGCCUGGGAGGGUGACCGGCCACAUGGGGACUGAGGUACGGCCCAGACUCCUACGGGAGGCAGCAGGGGGGAAUAUUGCACAAUGGGCGGAAGCCUGAUGCAGCAACGUCGCGUGCGGGAUGACGGCCUUCGGGUUGUAAACCGCAUUCGCCUGUGACGAAGCGUGAGUGACGGUAAUGGGUAAAGAAGCACCGGCUAACUACGUG